GGCCACGUAGCCAAGUGGUAAGGCAGGGGUCUGCAAAACCUCUAUUCAGCGGUUCGAUUCCGCUCGUGGCCUCCA
rnacentral:tRNA from 1 species